UGAAUAUUCAGCUCAAGGCGAAACAACAGUGGCGGCGUCAUUUCAAUAUUUGCACGUAUAGACCUUACCGAAUUCGCCGACCGAUGAGGUAAGGAGGUUACCAAUGUUAUUUACCGAAAAAUAAUUGUAUUAUCGUUUCGAUCCAAUAUAUUAUACCCUUCGCAUAGUGGAUACCUAAUAUUAUGCAUAUAUAUAUAUGUAUAUAUUAGAUGGACACCUAUACUCGGCUUUAUAAUAUAUCUUACUGUUGUAUUAUAAAACGAUUACAUACCUGUAGGGCCCGGAUUUAAAUGCAAAAUGCAUAUUUUUUUGAUUGAUAUUAGACGAUUCUUUCCAAGUACAUAAUUUAAUUCACGUAACAGAUACUCCAAAAUUUACACUUUUAUUUUGCUGUUUUUUUAAUGGUUUUUUUUUUUUUUUUUUUCAUUUUUAGAGCAAUUUUUAGCAUUUUUCGGUCAGUUUUUCAUUUUAGUUCAGCAUAUUUGUACAAUAUACGAGUAUUUAUACAUAAUACAACCGUCGAUUAAAUAUGGUAUAGUUAAUCUAUAAUACGACUCAAUAAUUUAAAUUUACCUAAUUCAAAAUAUUACCCACGUUUUUCGGGUUUUCCAGUCAACCAGUAAAAUACAACCUCUCAAUCAAUACUGCCGUCGCCAAUCACAAGUCAAAUUUUUCAAUUUUCUGUUGUUUUUUUUUUUUUUUAAUAAAAUAAAACUAUUAUAAAUUACCCAAUAGAACAAUAAAUUUAAAAAAAAUUAUAUAACAUUUUUAGCUUUUUUUUAGAGAAUUUUCCGAUAGUUUUUAGUGCAUUUAAAUCCGGGCCCUACAUAUUAUAUGUAUAAAUAAUCCACAAAGACCACGGUAUCGAUUGUCGAUUUUCAAUACAGGAGAUUAUUCUUAUGUUAUUAACCAUUACCAUUGACAUUAUUAUUACUUUUUCCUACUCCUUACAACAAUAACGUACCCAGGGAAGAUAUCUUAAGAGGGUGCUCCAGCUCCCCUCCCUAUUGACCAUGUUAAAUACAAAACGUUAAAAAUAUAAACUAUUCGGCAUUGGGGAAUUAUUACUAAUAAAAUAGUAAUCAUUGAAAAUUGUCACUAUAUUUUAUUCAACUAAGUACAAAUAAUUUCUCUUGCUACAUAAUUAUGCAUUUUGUAAAAUUUUAGUUUAGUUCCCCCCCCUUCUCACUUAAAAAUCCUGGCUACGCCAUUGCCUUAUAGACUAUAUUAUAUACCAAACUGUUAUAACUCAUAAACGGCAAAUCCAUUUUUUUGCCUAUUAAAUCCUAUUAAAUAAUCUUUAGAUCAAUAUUAUUUUUUAUCAAAUCUGUGUUGAAAAAUAGAGGGAGAUUGUCAUUUUAAAUUUCUACUCAUUUAAGAUAUGAGAAUUCCAUAAUGAUUAAAAAGAAAAAAAAACAGAAAUAAAAUUAUACUUUAAAUCCUCCGAAAAAAUCACCGGAUAAGAGAAUUAUCCUGCAUAUUACAUGUAUAUUAUAUUAUGUCACAAUGUCUUAAAUAAUUAGGUAGAUAGUGUUAAUGAAUGUAAUGACAAUGAAUAAUAAAAAUAAUAGACAAUAGUGCACAUCUGAAACAUGAUAUUAUGACGUAGUUUAUUAUGUAGGCUACGCUAUACGUGCGUGUUCAAGUGCAAGCCUUUCAGCAUUAUCUUUACUUAAAUUGAAGAGACGUCUGAACAGAAUCUGAACAAUAGACUAAGUUAAUUGAAACAUCGUUCAACACACACCGGAUACCUACAUAUCUACU